CCUACGGGAGGCAGCAGUGGGGAAUAUUGGGCAAUGGGCGCAAGCCUGACCCAGCAACGCCGCGUGAAGGAAGAAGGCUUUCGGGUUGUAAACUUCUUUUGACAGGGACGAGCAGAAGACGGUACCUGUAGAAAAAGCCACGGCUAACUACGUGCCAGCAGCCGCGGUAAUACGUAGGUGGCAAGCGUUGUCCGGAUUUACUGGGGGUAAAGGGCGGGUAGGCGGGUUGACAAGUCAGAUGUGAAAUCCGGGGGCUCAACGUGGGAACUGCCUUUGAAACUGGCAAACUUGAGUGUGUGAGAGGAAAGUGGAAUUCCUGGUGUAGGAGUGAAAUCCGUAGAUAUCUGGAGGAACAUCAGUGGCGAAGGCGACUAUCUGGCACAUAACUGACGCUGAGGAGCGAAAGCGUGGGUAGCAAACAGGAUUAGAUACCCGGGUAGUC
rnacentral:rRNA from 1 species